UUAAGUACUCUAAUUAUCCUUUUCUGCUAAUAGAAGUGGUUUCUUUUAUUGUUUUAUGCUAUUUCAUCAAACUUACCUUUUCAUUACUUUUGAACAAACUAUAGCACACAGUCUACCAUCUGUUAUGAUAUUUUUCUUAGACACAACCUCCCCCCUCCUUUUUUUUUUUUCCUUUAACAUUUGCUAAUUGCACAUACUUUCUGCUAGGGAUCUUGCAUGAUUUAAUGUAUCUGUUUCAAGUCUAAGAAAAAGGGCUCAGUUUGAUACUCCCUCCCUCCAGUUCUCUCCUCUUUCCUCUCUCUCUUCCUCUUUCUCCUCAUCUCUCUACAUAGUUUAGAAACUAUGAAUCUUUGUGGUUUCUAGAGGGAGAGGCCAUUACAUUUCUCAGCCUUUUGCAGCUUUCAAGGCAGUUCUGUUUGUAAGAGACAUAGGAAGUUGUAACUAACAAACGUACACAAAUGUGUCUGGAUACAAGAUGCAGCCACUGAAAGCAGUUUGCAGUAUAAAUUUAGAGUUAUUCACAGUUUACCUGAAGCUUAUAAAUGACAGCAGAGAAAUGAGAAAUUUGGUCAUUUUUGUUGCUGAUAAUCUAACUGCUACUGAGAACUAAUGCCAGUUUUAUUAUUCUUUAUUGCAUAUUCCAGCAGAUCAUGUUAUGUACUUAGAUGCCAGUGAAAUAUGUGUUAACUCCCAUAUCUGUUUUGCAAAGUAUAAUUUAUCAUCCUCUUUUUACAGAUGGGAAAAUUGAAGCAUGGAGAGCAGAUGACAAAUGAUCCCCUCACUACCAAGAAAAGAACCAACAACAUUUCAAGUCAUGACCGUGUUUCCACCUUGACAUACAUUGAUAGAUAUUCAAGAAAGGAGAAAAAACAACAACAU
rnacentral:lncRNA from 1 species